AGUGGCGGACGGGUGAGUAACGCGUAAGAAUCUAACUUCAGGACGGGGACAACAGUGGGAAACGACUGCUAAUACCCGAUGUGCCGCGAGGUGAAACCUAAUUGGCCUGAAGAAGAGCUUGCGUCUGAUUAGCUAGUUGGUGGGGUAAGAGCCUACCAAGGCGACGAUCAGUAGCUGGUCUGAGAGGAUGAGCAGCCACACUGGGACUGAGACACGGCCCAGACUCCUACGGGAGGCAGCAGUGGGGAAUUUUCCGCAAUGGGCGAAAGCCUGACGGAGCAACGCCGCGUGAGGGAGGAAGGUCUUUGGAUUGUAAACCUCUUUUCUCAAGGAAGAAGUUCUGACGGUACUUGAGGAAUCAGCCUCGGCUAACUCCGAGCCAGCAGCCGCGGUAAUACGGAGGAGGCAAGCGUUAUCCGGAAUUAUUGGGCGUAAAGCGUCCGCAGGUGGUCAGCCAAGUCUGCCGUCAAAUCAGGUUGCUUAACGACCUAAAGGCGGUGGAAACUGGCAGACUAGAGAGCAGUAGGGGUAGCAGGAUUCCCAGUGUAGCGGUGAAAUGCGUAGAGAUUGGGAAGAACAUCGGUGGCGAAAGCGUGCUACUGGGCUGUAUCUGACACUCAGGGACGAAAGCUAGGGGAGCGAAAGGGAUUAGAUACCCCUGUAGUCCUAGCCGUAAACGAUGGAUACUAGGCGUGGCUUG
rnacentral:rRNA from 1 species